rnacentral:rRNA from 1 species
AACGAACGCUGGCGGCAGGCCUAACACAUGCAAGUCGAGCGAAGCCUUCGGGCUUAGCGGCGGACGGGUGAGUAACGCGUGGGAACGUGCCCUUUGGUCCGGAAUAGCCCCGGGAAACUGGGAGUAAUACCGUAUGUGGUCGAGAGACGAAAGAUUUAUCGCCAAAGGAUCGGCCCGCGUUGGAUUAGGUAGUUGGUGGGGUAAUGGCCUACCAAGCCGACGAUCCAUAGCUGGUUUGAGAGGAUGAUCAGCCACACUGGGACUGAGACACGGCCCAGACUCCUACGGGAGGCAGCAGUGGGGAAUCUUAGACAAUGGGGGAAACCCUGAUCUAGCCAUGCCGCGUGAUCGAUGAAGGCCUUAGGGUUGUAAAGAUCUUUCAGUGGGGAAGAUAAUGACUGUACCCACAGAAGAAGCCCCGGCUAACUCCGUGUCAGCCGCCGCCGUAAAAC